AAGGUUGAAAGAAGCUAGAAUUUUGAAGGUCAGAGAGAUGAUAGGAGGAACUGAGCUCCGAGACAUCUGCUCUUGUUUUCUUUUCGCAGUGGUUCUGAAGCAACAUGGUGAAAGCACCGCGCUAGCAAUCUGUUGAAGAGCUGCUUUCUUGAAAGAAUUUUUUCAGGUUGACUGUUUUUCAGAGAUGAAGUUAAAGACUUUUUGAAUCCUAGCAGUGAAGGAAAAGGACUUUACAUAUACUACCAUUUUGUAUACAUUCUAUGAUUAUUCAAGGAACUCGAAGAGCUUUACUCAGAGAGCUUCAAUAAAAAAUAUAAACUGCAAAGAAAUGAUCUUAACUCCGGGGACUGUAAUUACCCUCUUAUUUGCCUUUUUUCUCAUAUCAAAUGAUUUAGCGCAUGGUGUGGUCAAUAACCAUAUGGCUCCUUAUGAGCCUGUGCGAAACCAAGGAUGGAGCCGCCGCCUGUAUUACAAAAGAAGAUAUUAUCCAAAACGAAAAAUGAAGAAACGAGUCCGAAACAGAACUCGAGCAUACCGUGGACCUGAUUUGGAUUGGCCAGAGAUACCACCAAUCCAAAUGAUAAAGUUACCACUGGAUGUUGCACCAGAGUGAUCAUCGGUGACCAAAUCAUCUUCAGAAUUUUCAUUUAAGCUCACAAUUUUAACAUCAAUUGACAUCAGCUUCACAUUUAUUUCAGAUACAUUCAUGUAAACGGAAUAAAUAAACUUUAGAGCUCUUUUUCAAAACUCUCCUUCUUUACGCAUAUUUUUUUGUUGUUAAAAGGAAUUGCCUGUUUGCAUUAAAUUUGUAAUGAUUAAUAACAGACUUAGAGAUACAUAAAUGAUCAAAUGAUUUAUUAACAAAACGAAUUUGUUUCUCUUAUAUUAUCAAAACUUUUAUCCCGCAGCCCUUACGAUACAGUCAUAAAGGAGUCAACUGCCAUAAUCUUGGGUACGGGUUCCCCGAAAAGGCAUAAUACUAAGUGCAUGGUGUUUUUGUGGCAUGGGAGUACUUAAAGUAUAGCUGAUCGGGAAGUUCUUUUUAUAGAUUGGUGGUAUGGAAGAAGGGUAGAAAUCACCUGCAGGUGCCUAAGCCAAUAAGAGAGAUGCAACCCCUUUCCUCUUGACUUGCUUCUUAACUCUUUUCGAGAGUCAAGAGUUAGGUCAUGGUCAAGAGCCUUGACAAUAAUAAAUUUAUGGACUUUAUCUGGCUGCAUAUUCAUAUCAAGUGAACAAAAAAGCAAUGAAAAAAGAAUUUCAUUUGACGUUUGGAGAUUAAGCAAAAUAAUAUGCAUAGGUGAUCAAAAGUUUUAUUUUUUCUGUAAGGAUACUCAGAGUUAUAGAUGUAUUGAAAUAUAUUGAUUUAUUUACAAUACUGAUGAUAUGAUUUAUAAUAUUUAAUAAUAUUUACAAAUAUUGAUGUGUAUUUGAAAUAAAAAUUUCAAAG